UCAGUUAACAUAAUGUCUUCAGAGUUCAUCUCUGAGGUUGCAGUGUGUGUCAGAAUUUCCUUCCAUUUUAAGGCUGACUAAUCAUUUGGAGGUACCUGCCACCUUCUGUUUAACCAUCCGUCCACUGGCAUUUGGGUUAUGCCCCUGUCCUGGGCUAUUGUGAAUAAUGCUGCUAUAUCUCUUCAGGACCCUGCUUUCCGUUCUUUUGGGUGUAUACCUGGAAGUGGGAUUGCUGGAUCAUGUUUGACCUGUUUAAAGUUGAACCACAUACAGUUGCUGGUAUUUGACUGCGAUGGUUCCAUCUGUGGUAUGUAACUUACAAAUUUACAUACAUACUUUAGGGGUCCGUGUCUGGCUGAGGUUGGAGAAGGCUGAGCUGGAUUUCCAAGGGCAGGUUGCCUGUGGGGAGAGGUAUCUGGCCCAUUGCUAUGAAUCAUCUGCCUGGCCUGCGCCCUGUACUCUGCUGGGGCUUCAGAGAAGGCCACACAGUGGUAACCUUUGUACCUGCUACAGGCACGAGAGGUGGGCCAACUGUGGCAGAAUGUGUGUCUUGUAAGGCUGAGAGGUUUGCUCUGAGUGACUCACUUUCCUGCUGUCCCCUGAACCACUGAGAUUCGUGGACUUGGUCUGGCCGAUGAGUGACACCAGGUAAAACUGGGACGCAUCAUCGCUAGGGAAUUCCCAGCCCACCUUCCUGGCUGGGGUCAGGGAUUCCUCCCCUAGGCACUGCUCGCCAGUGCCUGGGUCUAUCCUCAGAGCACAAAGACAAUACACUUGAAAACAGUCAGCAUGAUCCACGCAGGAUUCCAGGUGCUGGGGGCCCUCACAGCAAACCAAACAAAUGGGAGGGGGAAAGUUAAGUGAACAAGUAAACUUUGCGGUAUUUCAGGGGAUGCGAAUUUCUAUGCAAGAGACCCAGGGAAGGGGAUAGGAGGUGCAGUUUAAGAUAGAGGCCAGGAAGGCGUUGGUGAGAGAAGGGAGGGAAAGGGAACAAACCAGAGAGAUAACCUGCAGGAAGCUUUCCAGACUAGGGACAGCACAUGUCCAGGCUCUGGGGACAGAAAAGGCCAGUGCUGGGAAAGGAGGUGAGAAGGGGGUGUGGGUGAAGGUGUAGGAGAGGGGCUGACCUUUGUCUCCUCCACCUGAAGGCGGAGGUCUGUCCUCCCCUAGCAUGUGGUGAAUGAAUUAAGGAAUGACACACCUCUGAAGGAGAGAGGCCGGUGGUACAGCUCAGUGGUAGAGCGUGUGCUUAGCAUGCACAACGUCCCGGCUUCAAUCCCCAGUACCUCUGCCAAGUAAAGGAGGCAGGAUGACCUAUUGAAGCACUGGGAAGAGUCACCAUUUUGACAACGUGAAGACAGUGGUCCAAGAUGAGAUUGAAAGACAGGUACGAUGCAUGCAAGAGGGUCUUGGGAACUGUGCGGGAGUUGAGGUUUGAAUUUUGAUUUUUGUUUCUGAUUUGACAACACUAAGUUCUUGAGCAAAGUGCUGUGACAAACAAUGCAAGAUAUUAGGUUUUGGGAAAAUUAAUCUGGUAAGAUUUGAAGGACAAUUGAGAGCAGGGCAUGAAGGAGGUGGGGAGACCCCGGUGCCAGCUGGGGCAGGUGAGGACUGGGGCAGGGCCAUGCGUAGAAAAGAGAAACGCAGGGAAGACUUGAAGGUGCAGAUUUGGACCUGACCAUGGAGCAGGCCCACAACGACCAUGGGGAAAAAAUCGGAGGGGCAGGAAUGUGUUCCGAGUCCCAGGGAGGCUAGAGGAGGUGAGGGGGUGAGGCCUGCAGUGGGGACGUUGAUGUGUGCAGUUCAACCAGAGGGAUGUGGGGUCCUAUGGGGAUUGUAGAAACAGAAACCUCCAACUGGAUCUUUAGAGGGUUACUUUUUCAAUGCACAAUCAUUUAAAGUAACAGGAAUUUUACUUCAUCUCCCCCUAAAUCAGAAUAACAAGCCUUUAUGCAUCUGAGAAACAAAAAGUUCCCAGUCUGAAUUCAAGCAAAAGUUGCUCAUUCAAAAAUAGGAACCAAACACAACUCCUAACUCAAAUUUGAACCAGUUGAACAACAAACAGGAACAAUGCCUUAUCCUUUAAACAUAUUUCAGUAUCUGGUUUUAUUUUUGAGAUCUGUUAAAUGAAGUUGUAUGUCACUCGGUGAAAACACCAAGUACCUGGGGAAAUUUCUUUCUAAGCCACAAAUCUUUGUGACAACUGCGGACAAUCAGAUCUGACUGCUCAAAGCUUGUCCUGUAUGGAUCUGGGGAAGGAGGGAAGAUGGGGAGCUCCCAACUCAUCAUUCAAUCUCGUCUGAUGAAUGAUUUCCUCAUUAUAGCUGAUUCUGUUUUUGCCCCAGUUAUAACUCACUCAUUUAUUCAGUAAAUACUGAGUGCUCCCUAUGUUCAGGCACUGUUCUAAGGGGUCAAAGUUCUAGCCUGGGAGAGAGUAGCCCCUAGGAAAUAUGGUGGGGCUGGUGGAAUCUCCCUCCACAGCUGCUUCUUUGUCCUCAACUGUCAGCCCAGUCAGAGGCAGAGAGCGUUGAGGGCAGACAGAUGGCCAUUUCUGAGGCACCCCUGAACCAGUGGGGGCUAUGAGGCCCCCUCACUGCCUGCUGGCCUUUGCUGGGCCUUUGCCGGCCCUUCCCAAUUAAUAGCCUCAGUGUCCCAAGAGCCAGCUCUCCCAGCCCCUGUAAAAGACCUCACAGAGUGUCAGAUCAGUGGCUGCCCGGAAGUUGUGGGACAUUCCCUGGGCUCAAGUCCUGGGGAUGUUUGUUCUCUGGGCGGAGGGUAAGAAAGGAAAGACAGCUGUUGCAAUGCACUCCAUCCACUCAGCU